GAAAGGAGAGACGCUGGUCAAAGGGUACAAAGUGUCACUGAGACCGGAGGAACAGGUUCUGGUGAUCUGUUGCACAGCAUGGUGACUAUAGUUAAUGAUAAUGUAUUGUCUGUUUCAAAAUUGCUAAAACAGUAGGUUUUAAAUGUUGUCAUCACAAAAAGAUUACAAGUAGGGGAGAUGAUAGAUAUGUCAGUUAGCUUGAUGUAAUCAUUCCACAAUGCAAACAUAUAUCAAAACAUCA
rnacentral:lncRNA from 1 species